AAAAAAAAAAAAAAAAAAAAGGGAAGAUACUAACAUGCCUAACACAUCCUUUUAAUCUAUAUUUCCAAACUUUUUUACUAGAAGUUAGAAAAAAAGCACGAUAUUACUUAAAAGUUACACCUUAUAUUUUAUCUUAAACCCUUACAUUAUAUCUUGAUCAUUCUUAUGACAAUUUUUCUAGGAUUACAACUUUUUCCAUAGCUUGAUGAAUGAUUGACUAUGAAUGAUGAACAAUCACUUUCAUAUAAAUUUACUACUUUUUAUCUGCUAUUAACCCUCAACCCUUUAAGAGUUUGUGACAAAAUUGUGGGAUAAAAGUUCCAAAGUUCCACCCUGACACCUCCUCUUCUUAAAAACUUAAAAGAAUUUAAAUUGAAUCAAACUCGAAUAAAGUUUUAUUUCUAAAUUUUAAAUCAAGAAUGUUUAGGGACACUUUUUAUUACAAAUUUGAUGUAGUUUGUUGACAAAAUAGUUGGGAUAAAGUGAUUAUCCACUUUAACAAAUUAUGACAAUUUGUGAGUGAGAAGAAUUAUUUUGAAUUCCCUCCCAAAUAAAAUUAAUAAUAAAAUAAAAUUCCAAAAUUACACUAAAUAGUUAAACGAAAAUAUUUAGUUGAAACGGUUACAUAAACGACACACACAAACACAGUCACAGAGAGCUAAGAAGAAAGAGAGGAGAUGGUGAAAUGCAAGAAGAGAAGGAAGAAGCUAAAUGGUUAUUGUUACUGGUCAGCACUGCCAAUUCCUAUUUCUCUGAGAAAAGUUUUGUUUUCUCACUCUCCAAACAGACAUGCUGUCUAGAUACUGCUGGUGAACAUGCUCCUCCAAUGGAUUAUGCUGGGAAAAAUAUUUACUGAAAUUACCUUUUGCAUUGGUCAUGGUUCAGCUAUUUCGUUCUUCUUAAGUAAUAAUGGGAUUAUCUAGGUCAUUCUUCUACAAAUAGUACUUCGAUGAUGGUGUCUCAUCCCCUAUUUGCAGAUGACACUCUUAUUUUUUGUGAUACUGAUCCUAAUCAGUUAGUUACUUUGAGGGAGAUUCUGAAUAGAUUUGAGGAGGUUUCUGGGUUAAAAAUUAAUUUGGGGAAAUCAAAGUUGGUUCCGGUUGGAGAGGUGCAUAAUCUGGAUGUGUUGGUGGGGUUGUUGGGUUGUAGGCAUUCUUCCCUUCCUUUGAAAUAUUUGGGAAUUCCUUUGGGUCCAAAUUCAAGGAGGUAUCAAUAUGGAAUCCUAUUUUAGAGAAGAUGGAACGAAGACUAGCAGGUUGGAAGAGGCUUUAUUUAUCUAAGGGAGGUAGAGUCACUCUUAUUAAAAGUGCCUUAUCCUCCUUUCCUACUUAUUUCCUUUCCAUUCUUCCUAUUCCUGGGAAGGUUGCUAAUCGUAUGGAGAAACUACAAAGAGAUUUUCUUUGGAGUGGUAGUAAUGGUGAUUCUAAAUUUCACUUGGUGAAAUGGGCUAAGGUUUGCAAGCCAAUGCAGGGUGGGGGGCUUGGUAUCAGAUGAUUGAGAAGUUUUAACACUGCUUUGUUGGGCAAGUGGUUGUGGAGGUAUGGUUUAGAGACAGAUGCGCUGUGGAGGAGGGUCAUAGAGGCAAAAUAUGGGAAUGUUUGGGGUGGUUGGUGCACGAAAAAGGUGACUAGUCCGUAUGGUGUUAGCCUUUGAAGGUUUAUUAGAAGUGGCUGGCUAAAUUUCUCUAAACUAUUACAGUAUGAUGUGGGUGAUGUUACUAGAGUGAAGUUUUGGAAGCACGUGUGGUGUGGGGAUUGUUCCCUCAAAGAGGCUUUUCCAGAACUUUACAGCCUUAGCAGAGCAAGGGAUUCUUCAGUGGCGGAGGUUAUGGGCUGGUCGGGUGGGCAGCUGCAUUGGAAUUUUCUUUUUCGUCGUUCACCACAAGAUUGGGAGGAAGAAUCUUUUGAUCGGUUCAUCGACAUUGUUUACUCUUCGAAAGUGCGGGGGGUUGGCCCUGAUAAGGUUUGUUGGAAGAUAGCUAGGAGUAGAGGACUUAAGGUUAGUAGUUUUUAUCUCUCCUUCUACCCUCCUUCCCUUUCGUUUCCUUGGAGGUUGGUGUGGCACUCAAAGGUUCCCCCAAGGGUGGCUUUCUUCUCAUGGCCAGCUUCUCUAGGUAAGAUUCUUACAACUGAUAACCUUCACAAAAGGUGUAUUGUUGUUCUUGAUUGGUGCUACACGUGUAAGAGGUGUGGAGAGUCGGUGGAUCAUCUUCUGCUUCAUUGUCCUUUAGCCUGAGAGUUGUGGUCAUUGGUGUUUUGUUUGUUUGGGCUGCAUUGGGUUAUGCCUCUUAAGGUUAUUGAGUUGUUUGAAUCUUGGCAAGGUAAAUUUGGGCGGCAUUGCAAUAUAGAUUUUUGGAGACUUGUGCCGCACUGCUUGAUGUGGUGUAUUUGGAGGGAAAGAAAUGCUCGCUAUUUUGAGGGAUGUGAACAGUCCUUGCUAGAAAUUAAGUCUUUUUUCUUACACACUCUUCUUGGUUGGAGUGUGGCUCUGUCGCAAUUUUCUUGUUUUUCUCGUUUUUCUCUUCCUCUUUUACUUGAUCAUUGUAACUUGGGUUUUUUAUUUUCGCCCCCAAAGUACACUCCCAAUGUACUUGGGUUGGUUUUUUUUUUUUUUUUUUUUUUUUUUGAUAAAAUUUUUAGUUAUCUAUCAAAAAAAAAAAAAAGGGGGAUUAUCUAGGUCUGAUUUUUAAAAUCUAAGUGCUUUAGUAAGUAGUUUCUUUAGCAUGCACACAUUAAAUUUUGAAAAAAUAUAAGUCCCUUGUAUGGACCAAAGUGAUUAUGAUUCUCUUCUCAUUAUUGAAGUGGUGCAUUGGCUUGGGGGCCCAAACAUUGACACCUCAAUCACUAUAAAAACAAAUUGUAAUGAUCUUUUUGUUGUUAGAUGGUAGUAACUAUCGCUUUCAUCAACAUUUAUUUUGAUGUUAGACUGAUCUAUAUGCUAUGAAUUAUGACGGCAAAUGUAAAACUUGAGAGUUGUUGGGAGACUUUUACAGGUGUUUUGUUAGCACAUGAUAAUCACCUAACAUUUCUGCUGGGGCGAAGACCACUAUUUUAGUAUUUUUUUAGUAUUUUAAAUUCACUUCCCUUUUUUCUUGAUGAGAUAAAUUGAAACAUUUAUUUAAGAACUAGUUAAAAUAGAUAGGGGAUGCCAUAAUUUGGAUGGUUUUGUUUCUCAGUCAAAAGUUAGAUAGAAAAUGAAUUUAGACUUAUGAAAUGGGAAGUUUCCAUGUAUGUUUCCUGUGGAUGUGCUCUUAUCAAAGCUUGGAAAAUAUCUUCAUAAUGAACUAGUGUUAGGUAUUAAUUAACUCAGCAUAGCCGGCUGAUUUGGGAUUGUCUUUUGUUGAAUUUUUAAUAAUCCAAAAUAAAAUAUUAGUUUAUUAUGCAAUUGAUUUCUAUGUCUAUCUAUCCCUCACCCUUCUUUGACUGAAUUAUCACAUGUAUGAAAAUCCAUGGACAUCUUUAAUAUUCAAAGCUUGUAUCCUUGUUAAGGUCUAUAAGAAGUCAAGCUUAAGCUGGUGAAUUGAAUAACUGGCAGCCAAGGGUAGUUGGUAAAAGUAUCCCCUUUAGGUGAAGAAAAUGGAAGUACAAUUUUGAUUGUGACUGUAGCACUUGGUCAUCAUUAUAAAAUAUUUUGAUGAAUUUAUAUUUUGGAUUACCAUUAAGUGAAUUAGAAUGCUUAAAUAUACUUGAGUUUCCUAGGUAGAGACAUAAAUGGAUAAUAAUGGUUUUAAUAGGCUGCUAAAGUGGAUUUGGUUGGAUGGGAUUCUUGUUGACUUCAAGAUUCAGGAAAUGAACACGACUGUAGCAGUCUUGCUGGGUUCAUUUGGACCCAUUGUCUUACCAGCUAUAUUGGAUUUAUUGUGAUACAUAGGAACAACCCCGUUGGACUUGCAAACCAUGCUGUCUUAUGUAUGAUAUUUCUUUCAGGCAUUGCACAUACCAAAACUUGUGAUUUAUCUCCUGGAAAUUUAAAAUAUGCAGUGCUCUCCAGAUUUAACAGCAGAUUUACAGAAUGUGUUCAAUUUUUGAACUGUCAAUGAUCAUUAUUUUCAUUGUCUGUUUAUCACACAGUUGACACUCUGCCAACGAUUUUAGUAUAACUAGCAAAGUAUGGUAAUUAAUUUUUUCAAUUCCUUUGCUGCAUGUAUAUUAAAUUAUGAUCACAUUCUUUCCCUUUAUAAUGUUAUUGUCCACUAAUCAAUUGCAUGCUUUUGCUGUAAGUACACUAUUAAUGAGUAAAACUGCUCACUGAUAAGCUAGUUCCAAAUUAGUUAACUGUGGAUAUCUACAAAAAUUAUUAUUAUAAUAUUUACAAACAACUUUGUGAUUCGGUGGCAUUUUUGUUUUUCACCCAAUAAAGGUGCACCUGAUACAUGUUUCAUAUUACAUUGAUCUGGGGACACUUGCAAUAACUAUGUACCAUUCCACUGCAAUGUUGGCAA